rnacentral:tRNA from 1 species
GCCGCUUUAGCUCAGUUGGUAGAGCAACUGAUUUGUAAUCAGUAGGUCGUCGGUUCGAAUCCGACAAGCGGCUCCA